rnacentral:rRNA from 1 species
AGAGUUCGAUCCUGGCUCAGGAUGAACGCUGGCGGCGCGCCUAACACAUGCAAGUCGAACGGCACCCCUCUCCGGAGGGAAGCGAGUGGCGAACGGCUGAGUAACACGUGGAGAACCUGCCCCCUCCCCCGGGAUAGCCGCCCGAAAGGACGGGUAAUACCGGAUACCCCGGGGUGCCGCAUGGCACCCCGGCUAAAGCCCCGACGGGAGGGGAUGGCUCCGCGGCCCAUCAGGUAGACGGCGGGGUGACGGCCCACCGUGCCGACAACGGGUAGCCGGGUUGAGAGACCGACCGGCCAGAUUGGGACUGAGACACGGCCCAGACUCCUACGGGAGGCAGCAGUGGGGAAUCUUGCGCAAUGGGGGGAACCCUGACGCAGCGACGCCGCGUGCGGGACGGAGGCCUUCGGGUCGUAAACCGCUUUCAGCAGGGAAGAGUCAAGACUGUACCUGCAGAAGAAGCCCCGGCUAACUACGUGCCAGCAGCCGCGGUAAUACGUAGGGGGCGAGCGUUAUCCGGAUUCAUUGGGCGUAAAGCGCGCGUAGGCGGCCCGGCAGGCCGGGGGUCGAAGCGGGGGGCUCAACCCCCCGAAGCCCCCGGAACCUCCGCGGCUUGGGUCCGGUAGGGGAGGGUGGAACACCCGGUGUAGCGGUGGAAUGCGCAGAUAUCGGGUGGAACACCGGUGGCGAAGGCGGCCCUCUGGGCCGAGACCGACGCUGAGGCGCGAAAGCUGGGGGAGCGAACAGGAUUAGAUACCCUGGUAGUCCCAGCCGUAAACGAUGGACGCUAGGUGUGGGGGGGCGAUCCCCCCGUGCCGCAGCCAACGCAUUAAGCGUCCCGCCUGGGGAGUACGGCCGCAAGGCUAAAACUCAAAG